rnacentral:rRNA from 1 species
UACAGAGGUCUCAAGCGUUGUUCGGAUUCACUGGGCGUAAAGGGUGCGCAGGCGGCCAAGUGUGUGAGGCGUGAAAGCCCGGGGCUUAACCCCGGAAUUGCACCUCAAACUACAUGGCUAGAGCAUUGGAGAGGGUAGCAGAAUUCAUGGUGUAGCAGUGAAAUGCGUAGAUAUCAUGAGGAAUACCAGAGGCGAAGGCGGCUACCUGGACAAUUGCUGACGCUCAGGCACGAAAGCGUGGGGAGCAAAAGGG